rnacentral:lncRNA from 1 species
GCUUUGGAAGCAUGGUUGUGGGCAGAGCUGGGAUAAUUUUGUGUGUGCGUGAUUCUUAGUUAUGCUGACAGCUUUCAGGUUUUGAAAUCCUGUCUCUUCCCUGUUGGUUUAACCUGUGUUAUCCACAUUUUUUUAUCUCAUUUAUUUCAUUAAUUUCAUUCACUCAGCCCAAAGAUGAUUAUUUGGCCUCUACUGUGCACUAGGUGAUGUGUUCUUUACUGGGCUUUCUUGUUAUGAAACAAAUCAUUUGUGGCCAAUACAUGGGUGGAAACCACAAGACCCCAAAUUGAAGGCAGUUUAUUGCAGUGAUUUAAAAAAAAAACAAAAAACAAAAAAACUCAGUAGGAGAAAUAAAAUUUGAUACGAUUAGUAGUAUUUUUGCCUGUGUUUGAAUAUUAAAUUCACUUAAAAUUCUGCACCUUCCUAUGCAUUCCCCCCUCCCAUAUAUACACCUGCAACAUACAUAUGUGCACAUUCUGAUUUUCAUAAUGCUUUACUACAAAUAAUAACAGCAAUAAGAAAGGGCUCUUCAAAUGAGUGUAAUAAUAAUGGAUAAUACUGAAUUAUAAGAUUCCUUCUAAGAAUGUGUUAUGGUCAGAAACACAGUAAAAGGUGGUAAAUGAAUAAUGGUGAAAUAAUGAGUCAAUAUGCUGGAGAUGAUACACCUGAAGCACAGAUAAAUCAAAUUGGCUACAGUCACAUGGCUAGAAAAUGGCAGAGCCAGGAAAAUAACACAGAAUUUCAUGAACACUGUAUUUAUUGCUCCACCAUAUUCAGUGUGUCCUGUGCUUUUGGGGUGUUAAAGUAGUGGUGGUGAUCAUUCUCCUCGUGUCUCGGGUGUUUCAUGCUCUAAGAAAAACAUUGCGAGCUCUUAGAGGCGUGGGAUUUACACUUGGAAGCAGGCGUAGGGACCGUUCUGCCCAACUUUUUCAUUUUACUGACCGAUGAGCUGAUACUUUGAGGGCUAAGAGAUUAGCAAGUGUUGUAAAGGUUUCUGGAACCAUUGAGCACUCACCCCCACCCACGUUUCAGAAAUCUCCUUGGUCUAUUAUUCCAGUGUGCUGCCCAAGUAUUGUCAUUUCCUUUGUGUGCUGUGACGUGAAAAAAACUGAGGAUGCAUUCACUGGUAGCAAGCCACAUAUUUAUAAAUGAGUACAACACAGAAAUUGGUUUGAUUUUUCUCUUGUACAUUAUAUUUUGUUCAGAAUUCAUUAUUCCCUAGAUGAACAAAACAAGUUUAUGUUUUUUGAAAGUUAAAUUUCUGAAGAGCAAUGAAACAGAGCUGUUGCUAAUUAAAGUUUAAAAACCACUAGUGAAAAUAAACACCAAAACAUGGUUAACUUAAAGGAGAUUAAAAGGAGAGUGGGGGAAACAGCAAGGAUGAAUUCAAUGUGCAAGUUUGUUUAAAAUUAUAUACAACUUAAGGAGUCAUGAAAAGGAAAUAUUAUUGUAUUUUACAUAGAUAGAUAGAUGAGUAUAAAUAGUAUCUCCCUUGUAUAGAUUAAAGAAAGCUGUUAUCAUUAUCAGCUGACUCUGGAAAGAGGUGUCAGCUUAGUGAAGCCAGCAAACCUUAGUUUCCUCUGAGUGCCAGAGAGCCACUGUUAUCAUAUUCUCUUUCAUGAGCACCAAAUGUGCUUUAGGAUGUACAUGUGAGAUACAGCUAUGCCCUUGCUAGUGAGUUUAUAUUCUCGUGUAAGAGCUCAGUAAGUAAGCUAGUCAUCACAAUGAAAUGGGAUAAGUACUGUGCCGCUAAUUUGAAUUGGAUUUUCUGUUAUUUGAGGCUGGAAGAGUCCCAUUCCCAUGAAGAAUGCCUGUGUACUUAACAUAUCUUAAAGAAUGCAAAUGAUUCGGGAGUCUCCAUAUCUGUAGGGGCCCAAUGAAACAAAAAGCUUAUAAAUAUACUUGCCAACCACAUACAUGUCUUAGGACUCAGACCAUAAACCCAUAGAUACAACGUAAUUUGCCAGAGGUCCCAUAAAAUACUAAUAAUAAGGCUAGUUGUCCCUGGCUCUAGCUUAGUUAGAAUACCAUUUAUGUUGGGUGAGAAACAUUUCUUCUGAUAGAGUGCCUACUGUCAACAUAGAGCAAAGAUAGACAUUAGUCAAGUUUUUACACAGGUCAAUAAAGUGUGUUUAAAUGGGUUGAACCUGAGACUGGACAUAUAUUUAGUUUACCAGAGAAGAAUCUUCUAGGCUGAAGACACUCACAGGGUCUAAAAGAACCCAGUGUGCCUGGAACUAGGCAAGCAAGAUGGGGUCCCCUAGCCAUGGCUGACAUUAAUUUGUUUCUUUAUUAAUUGUUAAAAUCUGCUUACAACCAUGUUGGAGAACUGAAGAUGAUUCAUUUAGCCAGAAAUUUCAGUUAUCUCAGUGUUAUUGCAAGUUCCCUAUCUGAUCUUCCUCUUUUUGCUUGCCUUACUCUUGUGAGACAACUAUUAGGAGGGGACUAUACAAAGAGUUUUGAUUUUUUUAAUUUGUAUAUAAUCAUAGGGUACAAGUGCAGUUUUACUACAUUGAUAUAUAUUGCAUUGUGGUAAAAUCAGGGCCUUCAGUGUGCAUCUAUCACUGGAGCAAUGCACGUUGUACCUACCAGAGAGCCUCCCAGCACAUCGUACCUACGAAGCAACCUCCUAUCAUCCACCCUUCUCCUACCCUCCCAUCCCUCUGAGUCCCUGUAUU